UGGGGGAUAUUGCGCAAUGGGGGCAACCCUGACGCAGCAACGCCGCGUGAAGGAUGAAGGUUUUCGGAUUGUAAACUUCUUUUAUUAAGGACGAAACUUGACGGUACUUAAUGAAUAAGCUCCGGCUAACUACGUGCCAGCAGCCGCGGUAAUACGUAGGGAGCAAGCGUUGUCCGGAUUUACUGGGUGUAAAGGGUGCGUAGGCGGCUUUGCAAGUCAGAUGUGAAAUCUAUGGGCUCAACCCAUAAACUGCAUUUGAAACUGUAGAGCUUGAGUGGAGUAGAGGCAGGCGGAAUUCCCCGUGUAGCGGUGAAAUGCGUAGAGAUGGGGAGGAACACCAGUGGCGAAGGCGGCCUGCUGGGCUUUAACUGACGCUGAGGCACGAAAGCGUGGGUAGCAAACAGGAUUAGAUACCCUGGUAGUCCACGCUGUAAACGAUGAUUACUAGGUGUGGGGGGUCUGACCCCUUCCGUGCCGGAGUUAACACAAUAAGUAAUCCACCUGGGGAGUACGGCCGCAAGGUUGAAACUCAAAGGAAUUGACGGGGGCCCGCACAAGCAGUGGAGUAUGUGGUUUAAUUCGAAGCAACGCGAAGAACCUUACCAGGUCUUGACAUCCAACUAACGAAGUAGAGAUACAUUAGGUGCCCUUCGGGGAAAGUUGAGACAGGUGGUGCAUGGUUGUCGUCAGCUCGUGUCGUGAGAUGUUGGGUUAAGUCCCGCAACGAGCGCAACCCUUGCUAUUAGUUGCUACGCAAGAGCACUCUAAUAGGACUGCCGUUGACAAAACGGAGGAAGGUGGGGACGACGUCAAAUCAUCAUGCCCCUUAUGACCUGGGCUACACACGUACUACAAUGGAUGUUAACAGAGGGAAGCAAGACAGCGAUGUGGAGCAAACCCCUAAAAACAUUCUCAGUUCAGAUUGCAGGCUGCAACCCGCCUGCAUGAAGAUGGAAUUGCUAGUAAUCGCGGAUCAGCAUGCCGCGGUGAAUACGUUCCC
rnacentral:rRNA from 1 species